GCUCAACCAUUAAAGGCUAGGCUCACAACCAAUAUGUGUAUAUAUAUAUAUAUAUAUAUAUACAUUUUAUUUAUUUUAUUUUUUUUUUAUAUUCUUCUUUCCAAGACAGGAUCUCACUAUGUAGCCCUGGCUGUCCUGGAACUUAACUAUGCUCUAUGAGGCUGGCCUCAAAUCCUCAGAUCUACCUGCCUCUACCUCCUGAGUGCUGGAGUUCCAGGCAUGUGCCACCAUGCCAGUGAACUUCUGAUCCUCCUCCCUCCAUCUCCUGAGUGCUGGGAUUAACGGUAUGUGCCACAAUGCCUGGUGGAUGACUGAUCCUCCUGCCUCUACCUUCCUAGAGCUGUGAUUGCAGGCUUGUGUCACUACACCCAGUUUUAUACAGUGCUAGGAAUCAAGCUCUCAUGUAUUGUGCAUGUUAGGUGAGUACUCUAUAAACUGAGCUACAUCUCGAGCCCCAGUACUUUAGCUCUUUAAAACCAUUAAAAAGGGGAUCUUUGGGAGUAUGAUAUAGGAUGUUGCAAGUUUAAGACCAGGUUCAUCUACAUAGCAAGUUUGAGACUAACCAAAGUUGAUUAUUAAGGUAGAGGUUUUGGGGAUGUAUAUAUGAAAUUUAUGUAUAGUAUUAUUAAUAAUUAGUAGUAUUAUUAAUAAUUGUUUAUUUGAUCCAAUCUUUUCACAUUUUUUCAUAGUACAUCAAAUUUUAUCUGUCCUUUCUAUAUCUUUUUAGAAUAUAUUCUCUUAUUUAACAUAGGUCUGUAUGUGAAGAAACUAUAUCUUGCUUUACAACUCAUGGAUUUAAGAGGCUCUCAUUAUGGAGAAAGGAUGAUACAAGAUUAGAUGCUAAAUGAGUUAAAUAUAAAUCACUUAUAGUACAGAAAUGAGACUGAUAUAAAUUAGAUACAUAAAGUAAUUGAGAUGUUUAUCUGUGUUUUUUAUGCAUUGGAAUUUCUCAUCUGUAUUAAAUAUUGCUUGGACACUUCUCACAUUAUGUAUGAUCGCUUUCUUUUUUCUUUUUUCUUUUUUGGUUUUGUUUUGUUUUUCAAGACAGGGUUUCUCUGUGUACCCCUGGCUGUCCUGGAACUCACUUUGUAGACCAGGCUGGCCUCGAACUCAGAAAUCCACCUGCCUCUGCCUAACCAAGUGCUGUGAUUAAAGGUGUGCGCCACCACUGCCCGGCCCCAAGUUCACUUUUAAUUACUCACAUGAUGGCUCACAACCAUCUAUAACUCCAGUUCCAGGGGAUCCAAUGUCCUCUUCUGUCCUUCUUGGGCAUUGUGCACUUACAUUCAAGCAGGCAAAAUACUCAUGCAUAUAAAAUAAAAUAAAAAUUUAAAAAAGAAUGAUUAGACUAAGAUUUUUAUAAUAAAAGUAAACAUUAAAAUUUCCAUCAUUUGAAAAGUUAUACGAUGUAUUUGUAUCAUAGCUUUAUGCUCAGUAACAAAGUGAAUGAAGUGUUGUCACAGGCUACAUCUUAGCUUGAAAAUGCUUAGUGAAACAAAGCCAACACCAGUGAUAAGAAUCCUUAUUGGCUGGUUCCAUUUAUACCGUGGCCCUGAAUAGGCAGUCUACAGACAGGAGCUUUGUGGUUGCCAGGGGUGAGAGGAUGGAAUGGGGAUUAAGUGCUUAUUUUACAUAAGAGGAUAUGUCAGGAACGUUCUGGAAUUAGAUUGUGUUGAUGGUUGUACAGUGUAGCUGGUCUUUCUAUUUCUACUCUGUGGGUUCUUUCUUUUUCCCAUCAUUUAUCCCCCCAACCCCCAUUUCAUCCCCUAUCACCAGAUAGGAGAGAAAGGAUAGAGGUGGGGGAGAGAGAUCCUUGAAUCUGAUUUCUUCUUGUUUCUUCUUUGAGCAUGACUCUAUACUACAACCAACCUCCCUGAACCCACCAACAAUCACCAACCCUGCUUCUCAGGGCCCUAGCAUGUUUAUGCCCUCUGAAAAUUUCCCAGAAUUCCAAACAUCACACAAUCACAGAAGUGAUCUGCAGCUGGCAAAACCACAUGUCUGCCAGAGCUAAUCAUAAUUAGCUGCUUUGGACAGUCCAAAGCAGCCCUACAUAUGUACCUACACCUGGAGUUAAAACAAAAACACAUCCUUAUAAUAUUUCUGUGUUUUUCUAAAGAAACCAAAAUUCUAGAAUUGCAUUACAGUUCAGCUCUGUAAAUAUACUGGAAAACCCCUGCAUUGUGUACUUCAAAAUGGAGAAUUUUGGACUUGGAGAGUGUCACACUUCUUAGCAUAUAAGAGGCCCCAGGCUUAAUCCUUUGAGCCACAAAACCUAACAAACAAGCAAACAGCCAAGCAAUAAGUAAAAUUGAAAAAAGAGGGAAGGGGCCAGAGCGGUAGCUCAGAAGUUAGGAGCACUCACUGCUCUUGCAGAGGAUCUGGGUUUGGCUCCCAGCCACCCACACUUACAACCACCUGUAACUCUCGCACCCUCUUCUGGCUUUUGAGGGCACCUGAACAUAUGUCACCAUAUAGAUAACCAAGUAAAUAGAUACAUAAAUC
rnacentral:lncRNA from 1 species